rnacentral:rRNA from 1 species
CCUACGGGAGGCAGCAGUGGGGAAUAUUGCACAAUGGGCGAAAGCCUGAUGCAGCAACGCCGCGUGAAGGAAGAAGGAUUUCGGCUCGUAAACUUCUAUCAACAGGGACGAAAGAAAUGACGGUUCCUGAAUAAGCAGCCCCGGAUAACUACGUGCCAGCAGCCGCGGUAAUACGGAGGGGGCAAGCGUUAUCCGGAAUUACUGGGUGUAAAGGGUGAGUAGGCGGCAUGGUAAGCCAGAUGUGAAAGGCCUGGGCUUAACCCGAGUAUUGCAUUUGAAACUGUGAAGCUAGAGUACAGGAGAGGAAAGCGGAAUUCCUAGUGUAGCGGUGAAAUGCGUAGAUAUUAGGAAGAACACCAGUGGCGAAGGCGGCUUUCUGGACUGAAACUGACGUUGAGGCACGAAAGCGUGGGGAGCGAACAGGAUUAGAUACCCGUGUAGUC